UACGUAGGGUGCGAGCGUUGUCCGGAAUUAUUGGGCGUAAAGAGCUCGUAGGCGGUGUGUCGCGUCGGCCGUGAAAACCUGCAGCUUAACUGUGGGCGUGCGGUCGAUACGGGCAUCACUGGAGUUCGGCAGGGGAGACUGGAAUUCCUGGGUGUAGCGGUGAAAUGCGCAGAUAUCAGGAGGAACACCGGUGGCGAAGGCGGGUCUCUGGGCCGAUACUGACGCUGGAGGAGCGAAAGCGUCGGGGAGCGAACAGG
rnacentral:rRNA from 1 species